rnacentral:snoRNA from 1 species
AAGACUAUACUUUCAGGGAUCAUUUCUAUAGUAUGUUACUAUAUCCUGUAGAGCAAGAUUAGCUAUUCUUAU